rnacentral:rRNA from 1 species
GAGUUUGAUCUUGGCUCAGGACUUAACGCUAGCGGCAGGGCCUAAGUACAUGACGAAGUCGAACGGGAGUUUCGGGUAGCAAUAUCUGAAUGAGAGUGGCGCACGGGUGCGUAACACGUAUGCAACCUACCUAUAACUGGGGGAUAGCCUCCCGAAAGGGAGAUUAAUACCGCAUAACAUUAUGAAGUGGCAUCACUUUAUAAUUAAACUUCAAGGGGUUAUAGAUGGGCAUGCGUCCGAUUAGCUAGUUGGUGAGGUAACGGCUCACCAAGGCUCCGAUCGGUAGGGGGUCUGAGAGGAUGAUCCCCCACACUGGUACUGAGACACGGACCAGACUCCUACGGGAGGCAGCAGUAAGGAAUAUUGGACAAUGGGCGCAAGCCUGAUCCAGCCAUGCCGCGUGAAGGAUGAAGGCCCUAUGGGUCGUAAACUUC